UCCUUCCUAGCUUAUAGAUUAAAGCGUUAGUUUGAAGAGCUGAAGUUACAUAUGUGGUGGUGGGA
rnacentral:tRNA from 2 species